rnacentral:miRNA from 1 species
CAGUGGAGUUACUGUUACUACG